rnacentral:rRNA from 1 species
AGAGUUUGAUCCUGGCUCAGAACGAACGCUGGCGGCGUGCCUAACACAUGCAAGUCGAACGCGAGGCGCCCUUUCGGGGGCGUAGUAGAGUGGCGCACGGGUGAGUAACACGUAGACAACCUGCCUUCGAGCCCGGGAUAACCUUUCGAAAGAAGGGCUAAUACCGGAUAACACUUUGGGGCGCAUGCCCUGAAGUUGAA